AACACAAAACUCAGUGCCCUUGAGCCCAGAGGCCGCAGCGACACACAGGAAGCACAUUAUUCUCAACUCAACACAGGAAGUCAUCAUUCUCAGCUCAACACAGGAACAGGAAGUCAUCAUUCUCAACUCAACACAGGAAACUCAACACAGGAAGCACAUCAUUCUCAACUCAACACAGGAAGUCAUCAGUCUCAACUCAACACAGGAAGUCAUCAUUCUCAACUCAACACAGGAAACUCAACACAGGAAGCACAUCAUUCUCAACUCAACACAGGAAGUCAUCAGUCUCAACUCAACACAGGAAGUCAUCAUUCUCAACACAGGAAGUCAUCAUCAUUCUCAACUCAACACAGGAAGUCAUCAUUCUCAACUCAACACAGGAAGCACAUCAUUCUCACUCAACUCAACACAGGAAGUCAUCAUUCUCAACUUAACACAGGAAGUCAUCAUUGUCAACUCAACACAGGAAGUCAUCAUUCUCAACUCAACACAGGAAGCCAUCAUUCUCAACUCAACACAGGAAGUCAUCAUUCUCAACUCAACACAGGAAACUCAACACAGGAAGUCAUCAUUCUCAACUCAACACAGGAAGUCAUCAUUCUCAACUCAACACAGGAAGUCAUCAUUCUCAACUCAACACAGGAAGCCAUCAUUCUCAACUCAACACAGGAAGUCAUCAUUCUCAACUCAACACAGGAAACUCAACACAGGAAGUCAUCAUUCUCAACUCAACACAGGAACAGGAAGUCAUCAUUCUCAACUCAACAUAGGAACAGGAAGUCAUCAUUCUCAACUCAACAUAGGAAGUCAUCAUUCUCAACUCAACACAGGAAGCACAUCAUUCUCAACUCAACACAGGAAGUCAUCAGCCGCAGCGACACACAGGAAGCACAUUAUUCUCAACUCAACACAGGAAGUCAUCAUUCUCAGCUCAACACAGGAACAGGAAGUCAUCAUUCUCAACUCAACACAGGAAACUCAACACAGGAAGCACAUCAUUCUCAACUCAACACAGGAAGUCAUCAGUCUCAACUCAACACAGGAAGUCAUCAUUCUCAACUCAACACAGGA
ensembl:lncRNA